rnacentral:lncRNA from 1 species
CUUGAAUUCGCCAUAGUGAUCAAACUUCUCGUUCUUGGGGGACUUGGAAUCGCCAUAGAAGUCGGACUUCUGCUGGUGCUUUUGAGGCUUGACAUCGCCAUAGAAGUCGGACAUUUGCUGGUUCUUUUGAGGCUUGACAUCGCCAUAGAAGUCGGACUUCUGCUGGUUCUUUUGAGGCUUGAUAUCAUCGUAGAAGUCGGACUUCUGCUGGUUCUUUUGAGGCUUGGCAUCGCUGUAGAAGUCGGACUUUUGGUUCUUGGAGGACUUGAAGCUGCCAAAGAACGAGUCAGACUUCUGGUUCUUUUGGUUCUUCUGGGGCUUGGCAUCGGUGUGGAAGUCGGAGGACUUUUGGCCCUUGGGGGACUUGAAAUCACCGUAGCCGCCGGAAUUCUGGUUCUUCUGAGGCUUGAGGUCGCCGUAGAAGUCGGACUUCUGGUUCUUUUGAGGCUUGAGAUCGCCGAAGUAGUCGGUCUUCUGACUUUUCUGGGGCUUGAGAUCGCUGUAGAAGUCGGACAUCUGGUUUUUGGGGGACUUGAAAUCGCCAUACAAGUCGGACUUGCCUCCGUCCUUGCCGUAAAACUGCAUUUUGGGUGAAUGCUCGUAGUCGGAGGCUUCAGACAAGUAUUCGGGCUGAGGAUGGAAGGAACGGUCGUGUUCGUUCGACUUGUUGCUGCUUUGGAAGCUUUUGUUACCGUUGUUUCCCUUCGGACCUCCUUUCGAAGCUUUGCUCGGGGUGGUCAUGACAGGCUGAGAUCCAUACAGGUUCUUGUUGCCGUUGCCGUUUGGAUAGUUCCACAGCUCCACAGGCUUCCCAGUUUUCUUCACCGCUUUCAAGAGCUUCGACGGAUCGACAAAUCCGGUUACUUUGAUCCAUUCUCUGUUUUUAUCUACAUCAACUGAGGCGGUGCCUGGACGAAGAAAGCAAUGUGUGAGGAGGCCACACUGAAGAUCACUCGCUAUAGCUCACCUUUGACGUUAAACAGUGCCUUCUUCACUCUCCGCUCGCAGCCUUCGCAGUGCAGUCCGACUUUGAGUAUCACGGUCUGCAAGUUUUCAAGCUGAGUCAGGAAAGCGAGUUCGAGGACGACCUGCUUCUUCUUACCUGCAUGCUGGUGGUGGUGGUGGUGGCUAUGGUGUUGGUCAUUGUAGAAGAUGCAACACAUAGAUUGCAAGGCAGAUUCUGGAUUUGAAGACGACUAUCAAAGCCGAGCGGGAUGCGUUUCCUGUGCGACUCAGGAAGCAACUGUCGUACAGACACGAUAUGUUUUAUAGAAUGGAGGCGCUAGAGCAAGAGCCUUGGAAGAAAAGCCAUGAGUAUAUAUCAGAGCGCAGGAGGCAGGCACACUCUGGGAAGGAGCUUCACAUCGACAACCUGGAAAGGAGAAAAAGCAAUGCGGCCACAGUGCACUAGCUGGAGCUCCUCCUGGAAGCUACGCAAGGACCGAGCAAAACCGAGGAAAGAGGAAGAGUAGAAUAAGGGGCUGAUCUCACUCAAAGUUAGUCGUUUCCUCCUACUGCUGCAAGAGCCUAGCAAGCGAUCAGGGAGAAGCUGUAUUUUGAUGGUCGACAGUCCGUGCUUCCAGGCGUGCUUUUGGGACUGAGCGGAGCUGAGGUAGCCGUGAAAGCAAAGAAAGAGUGGCAAUUCCAGGAGCUGAGCAGCAGCAGCAGCAGCAGUGCAGGGAACUGGAGUGGUGGCGAGCAGCGAGUGGAUGAGCGGCUGGCUCGUGACGCUAGAAAAAGAGAGUAGCAGAAACGCGGGGGCGGAGGAAGGGAAGACGAGAAGAAGCAGCGAGCAAGUCACCAAAAUAUCAUGUCAUUCCGGGCUGGCUUUUUUCUGCUCCGUAUACCACACCGAGAGGUACUCAUUGGCCUUUC